rnacentral:rRNA from 1 species
AGUGGGAGCACCCUUCGGGGUGUGACUGCGUACCUUUUGUAUAAUGGGUCAGCGACUUAUAUUCUGUAGCAAGGUUAACCGAAUAGGGGAGCCGGAGGGAAACCGAGUCUUAAUUGGGCGUUAAGUUGCAGGGUAUAGACCCGAAACCCGGUGAUCUAGCCAUGGGCAGGUUGAAGGUUGGGUAACACUAACUGGAGGACCGAACCGACUAAUGUUGAAAAAUUAGCGGAUGACCUGUGGCUGGGGGUGAAAGGCCAAUCAAACCGGGAGAUAGCUGGUUCUCCCCGAAAGCUAUUUAGGUAGCGCCUCGUGAAUUCAUCUCCGGGGGUAGAGCACUGUUUCGGCUAGGGGGCCAUCCCGGCUUACCAACCCGAUGCAAACUGCGAAUACCGGAGAAUGUUAUCACGGGAGACACACGGCGGGUGCUAACGUCCGUCGUGAAGAGGGAAACAACCCAGACCGCCAGCUAAGGUCCCAAAGUCAUGGUUAAGUGGGAAACGAUGUGGGAAGGCCCAGACAGCCAGGAUGUUGGCUUAGAAGCAGCCAUCAUUUAAAGAAAGCGUAAUAGCUCACUGGUCGAGUCGGCCUGCGCGGAAGAUGUAACGGGGCUAAACCAUGCACCGAAGCUGCGGCAGCGACACUCAGGUGUUGUUGGGUAGGGGAGCGUUCUGUAAGCCUGUGAAGGUGUGUCGUGAGGCAUGCUGGAGGUAUCAGAAGUGCGAAUGCUGACAUAAGUAACGAUAAAGCGGGUGAAAAGCCCGCUCGCCGGAAGACCAAGGGUUCCUGUCCAACGUUAAUCGGGGCAGGGUGAGUCGACCCCUAAGGCGAGGCCGAAAGGCGUAGUCGAUGGGAAACGGGUUAAUAUUCCCGUACUUGGUGUUACUGCGAAGGGGGGACGGAGAAGGCUAUGUUGGCCGGGCGACGGUUGUCCCGGUUUAAGCGUGUAGGUGUGUGUUCCAGGUAAAUCCGGUUCACUUUAACACUGAGGCGUGAUGACGAGGCACUACGGUGCUGAAGCAACAAAUGCCCUGCUUCCAGGAAAAGCCUCUAAGCAUCAGGUAACAUCAAAUCGUACCCCAAACCGACACAGGUGGUCAGGUAGAGAAUACCAAGGCGCUUGAGAGAACUCGGGUGAAGGAACUAGGCAAAAUGGUGCCGUAACUUCGGGAGAAGGCACGCUGACACGUAGGUGAAGUGAUUUACUCAUGGAGCUGAAGUCAGUCGAAGAUACCAGCUGGCUGCAACUGUUUAUUAAAAACACAGCACUGUGCAAACACGAAAGUGGACGUAUACGGUGUGACGCCUGCCCGGUGCCGGAAGGUUAAUUGAUGGGGUCAGCGCAAGCGAAGCUCCUGAUCGAAGCCCCGGUAAACGGCGGCCGUAACUAUAACGGUCCUAAGGUAGCGAAAUUCCUUGUCGGGUAAGUUCCGACCUGCACGAAUGGCGUAAUGAUGGCCAGGCUGUCUCCACCCGAGACUCAGUGAAAUUGAACUCGCUGUGAAGAUGCAGUGUACCCGCGGCAAGACGGAAAGACCCCGUGAACCUUUACUAUAGCUUGACACUGAACAUUGAGCCUUGAUGUGUAG